UACAGAGGGGGCAAGCGUUGUUCGGAAUUACUGGGCGUAAAGGGCGCGUAGGCGGCCUUCUAAGUCAGACGUGAAAUCCCUCGGCUCAACCCGGGAACUGCGUCCGAUACUGGCAGGCUUGAAUCCGGGAGAGGGAUGUGGAAUUCCAGGUGUAGCGGUGAAAUGCGUAGAUAUCAGGAGGAACACCGGUGGCGAAGGCGGCUUGCUGGGCCAGUUCUGACGCUGAGGAGCGAAAGCGUGGGGAGCGAACAGG
rnacentral:rRNA from 1 species